AAUGUUCCUACGUAUGUGGGUGUCGGCUACAAGUUAUCCGCUUGCAGUUGACCUAACAGGGAACCGGGCGUACAUCCCGGACAGUGCCGCUACUGUGUUGGAACAGAGGAUGCGCAUGGCUGAUGGAUACAGUCAUGAGGGCACCACCAAAAAAGUGUUCCUAAGUCAGAUACCUGCCCAUGUUGUCUUGGUGUU
rnacentral:ncRNA from 2 species